rnacentral:lncRNA from 1 species
CCCUGAUGUUUUCAAGUUCUUUACUACUUUGCUGUGCAUGAAGAGCUCCUUUUGACAGCCCAAUCUGCUCCAACUCUAUCGCGACUUCUCUCAUUGUUGGCCGUUUCCUUCCAUUCAAGUUCAAGCAUCUUCUUGCAAGGUUAGCGACUGCGACAACUUCUUCUUCACGGUCCUGCCCCAUAAGUCGUUCCUCAAGAAUAUCAAAUAUCUUGUUCUCUUCCAUCAAAAGAAUAAAAUGAGUGGCUAAACUUCUCCUGUCUUCCGGCCUUUCAUAAGAAAUUGGUUUUUGCCCACUCAAGAGCUCUGCAAGAACAACACCAAAACUGUAGACGUCACUUUUUCCGGUAAACUGGCUAGACUGGAAGUACUCUGGGUCCAAGUAUCCAAAAGUGCCUUGAACAUGAGUGGUUAGAUGAGUUUGAUCAAUGGCGAUCGAUCUUGAAGUUCCGAAAUCUGAUACUUUUGCUCUGAACUUCUCAUCUAACAUUAUAUUUGUAGACUUGAUAUCACGGUAGUAAACCGGAAUGGAUGCUGCGGAAUGAAGAUAAGAAAGUGCCCUAGCAACUUCAGUAGCAAUCCUUAGUCGCAUUUCCCAUGAAAACUCGAACUCCUCCUUCUGGUCAUGAAUACACUCAAAGAGAUUUCCAUUGGGAAUGAAUUCAUAGACUAGCAGAGGAACCUCCGUCUCUAAACAACAACCUAGCAACUUGACCACAUUUCUGUGAUUGACUUGUGAAAGGAUGACGACCUCAUUGAUAAAUUCUUCCAACUUUUCUUCAUCCACCAUUUUGGAUUUUUUAACGGCAACGAUCAUUCCAUCUGCUAGCAUUCCUUUAUAAACAGUUCCUUGGCCACCUUGACCAAGUAUUCUAUUAUCAUUAAAACGAUCGGUUGCCUUUUCCAGCUCCUUGGAAGUAAAUAUUUUUGUUUUCUGAAUGCUUCCAUCACUUGAGGAUAAUUGUUGCUGCAGCAAUAAACCACCAUUUCGUUUGAAGAACUUCUUCUUCAGUUCAAUGUUCUUCUUUUUUUUUACAAGCUUGUAUAACCGCCAAAUACCAACAAGCAGCAGCAACAAUCAGUGAAAAAUUGUAGAGGAUAGGUAUAUUAAAAGGUUUCUCUGUUUCUUAAGAAAACAAUGUGAAUAUACAGCAAUGCAUCCUGCAGGGGCUGCUGGUUAUUAUAUAGCAAUAAAAGUUGCUAAAUUGGAUACAUUAAAUAGCCUAAUUCUCAGCUGAUUUACUUCCAUAAUCAGCCAACGUCUCUUUCUGUUUCUAUCUUGUCCUCCAACGUAACCUUCCUUGUUGCUGCAGUUGAUUUGUUUAUAUAAUCAACCAAUGUCUCAACGUCUGUUUCUGUUUCUGUUUCUGUUUUGUUAGCAUUAAUAUCCUCCCUCAAACUAGGUCGGGGUCGGAGGCAUAGUUUGUUCUUGAAGUAAGCCAGUGCAGUUUUUGACAUAGGUUUUGUGAAGAUGUUAGCUAUUUGGUCAUGAGUGGAGAUGUGUUGAGUAAUGAGAAGUCUAAGGGCAACACGUUCACGUACGAAAUGGUAAUCCAGCUCAAUGUGUUUGCUACGAGCAUGAAACACAGGGUUGACAGUCAUGUGCAACGCACUAAGAUUAUCACAGUAGAGGAUAGGCGGAGAAGUAUGUGAGACGUGAAGAUCUUGUAGGAUGAAGGUGAGCCAUGUAAGCUCUGCUGUUGUGUAUGUCAUAGCUCUGUAUUCAACUUUAGUGCUGGAACGAGAGAUAGUGGGUUGUUUCUUGGCACACCAUGAAAUGAGAUUGCUGCCAAGGAAUGUGUAGUAUCCGGUUGUGGAGUGUCGUGUUGUAGAGCAACCUGCCCAAUCUGCAUCGGAGAAGGCACAAAGAUCAAGUGUAGAGUGGGAAGUAAAGUUUAAACCAGUAUCAAUUGUGCCUUUGAUAUAUCUUAAGAUACGAUGAACCAUUUUGAAGUGUAUAACAGUUGGAGCAUGCAUGCAUUGGGAGACAAAAUUAACACUAUAUGAAAUUUCAGGUCUGGUGAGUGUUAGAUAUUGUAAGGCACCAACAAGCCCAUGAAAAACCUGUGGAUCUUGUAGUAAUAUAUCAGUUGCUGCAGUCUUAGUCUUGGCUUCUAGUGGUUUGCUCGUUGGUUUACAAUCCACCAUACCAGCUCGUUCAAGGAUCGUCAAUGCAUAAUGUGAUUGAGAGAGGUGAAGUCCUUCAGGUGUAUAAGUGAUUUCAAUACCUAGAAAGUGAUGAAUUAAGCCUAGAUCUUUCAUUGCAAAUUCUGAACUUAGCAAUUGAAUAAGGUUUUUCACCAAAGGAGUAGAGGAUCCUGUGAGGAGUAUAUCAUCAACAUAAAGAAGAAGAAUUAAUGUAUUAGAGUUAGAGUGAAAAAUAAAAAGAGAUGGAUCGGCAAGACUGCAAAAGAAACCAUAUUGAAGAAGAAAUAUACUAAACCGGUCAAACUAAGCACGAGGUGCUUGUUUGAGACCAUAAAGAGUCUUUCUUAGCUUGCACACAUGAGAUGGGUAUCGUGAAUAAGCUAUUCCUGGUGGUUGUUCCAUGUAUAUAUCUUCUGAUACAAAACCAUGUAGGAUAACAUUUUUAACAUCAAGUUGUCGUAUGGACCAUUUUAUGAACUAGUGCUAUGGAGAUAACCAUGCAAAUAGUUCCUGGUUUAAUAACUGGAGAAUAGGUCUCAGUAUAGUCCAAUCCAUCAAUUUGGUGAUACCCUUUUUCUACUAAUCGAGCUUUUAAGCGAUCUAGUGAACCAUCGGGUUUGAGUUUUGUUUUGAGUACCCAUUUAGAGCCAAUAACAUGUGUCGCACCCCAAAAAAAAAUGAAAAUUUGUUUUUGCGACAUUCGACUGGCGACUUUCGUUUUGUUUUUUUUUUUUUGCUGAUUUAGUUCUUUGGAGUCGCCACCUAGUAUUUUGGUCACUAGGAACCCUAACUGGUCUUUCAGAGAUUCUAAGGCAAGGGACUGGUUGCGUAAAGGGAAGGUAUUAACACCCCUAGUACGCCCUACCUAAGGUAAGCUGCUUGGUGUUUUGGUUUGCUCUAUAAUUGCUAUGGUGUUGGUAUUUUCUAGGCUCGUCAAUUGAUUUUGGAUAGAAAUCUAAGGAGAUUCCAUGUGCUUUGAAAGCUCAUUUUUCCCUUAGUAUUUCAAGAGUUUGCGACUCAUAAAUCGUGGAAAAAAAAAAUUAAAAUUUUGAAAUGUCCUCAAUUAUAAUCAAGGCUUCUUUCAAGAAUGUGUGCGGAUUUAUUACUCCCAAUAAUAUUUUGGAUAUUCAUCCUUUUAAGGAUUUCUUUAUCCAAACAUUAGCGGUGAAUAAUAAAUAAAUUUCCUCCCAAAAAUAAGAUUUUUAUAGUUUUUGGAAUAUUGGCCAAUACCCUUUGGAGUUUUACAAACAUGUUGUAAAAUCCAGAAAUGCAAGAAAAUAAUUUGUGUUUAAGAAAUCUAUGCGAAAACACACUUUCGAAGAUUCCAAUAUAUUUUUUUUAUAAAAAGAACAUUCAAAACAUGUUAGAGUAUUGGCCGUAUGCAACACGCAAGAAAACAUUUUGUUUUUUUGUAAACAAUAUAUUUUUUGUUUUGACGAAAUCGGGUAUUUUAAUACUGAAUUUGUAUUUCCACAGCAUAAAAAUACAAACUAAUAUUAAGUCAUUUUAAAAAGAUGUACGAAAAAAAUCAACAAUAUUUUUAAGGAAAUUUAGAAAUUUUUUGAAAGCAAAAAAAAAAUUUAUCUUUGAAAAUUUUGGGUGUCUCGACGAAAAUCGGAUAUUUUAAAUACUGAAUUUAUACCUCCACAGUAUAAAAAAAAAAUACAAACCCCCCUAAAGAAAAAUAUGUAUAUAUGAAAAGAAAACAACAACAUUUUUUUAGAUUUUACAGAUUUUGUUUUUUUUUAAAUAUAUAUAUAUAUAUACACACAUAAUAUAAUAUAAUAAUAUAAUAUAAUUAUAAUAUAUUAAGGGGGUUGGGCCGGCCCAACUAACUGGGCCGAACUCAGCCCCAAAAAUCGUUGGGCCGGAAUUGGCCAAAAGGGAUGGGGCCGACCCCGGCCCAGACCACCGGGUUGGGCCAGAAUCCCUCUGGCCCAACCACAUGUUUCUGGGCCAGAAUCCGUCUAGCCCAGAGAAGAAAAAAAACACAGCACGGGGGGGAAUUAUUUCCCCCCCCCGCCUCCUGCAUGCAGAACGAUUCUGCAUGCAGGAGGCAAAAAAAACACUUACAACUUUUGAAAAGAAAAAUGUGCAGGGGGGAGCGUACCUGGUGCGGCGGAGACGGUGGCUUGUUGGCGAGGCUGCGGUGGAGGCGGUGGCAGAGUCCUAGCUCACGGACGGCGACUCCUCACGACGAUUUGCCAAACAGUCCGGUGGCGUCCUCUCAGGUCGUUUGCUUGGUUUUCGUUUCUAAGUUUCUUCCCAGUUUCAAAUUUUCACUCUUCUCUCGUUUUUUUAGUUUUCGUUGGCUCUCUCUCCUCUGGUGGGUGUUUCUCUCUCUUCCUCUCUCUCUUCGAUUUUUCUUAGUUUUCUUCGGGUUCCUCUUCUGUUCUUUUUUUUCGUGCUCAUCGGUGUGCUGGGUUAGGCGUUAUUUAUAGAACCAGUGGACGUGGCUUCAACGUGGAGCCCAGGAGCGGGUCGGGGAGCGGCUGUCCAGGCGGGCCUCCCUCGGCUUCGGCAACGCGGUGGGUGGUCAGCCAUUGUCUUCUGUAGGUGGCCCACCGGCGUGGGGCCUCGGUCGGUGGCAAGAGGGACCUGCAAAAAAAAUAAAAAUACAAACUUUUCCUUCUUCCCCGCUGUAAUGUUCGGGGGAAGAAGAAAGUGAACAGUGCCGUUCAAAACGGCACUGUUCGGUUUUUUUUUUUUUUUAUGCAUGAAACGGCGUCGUUUUGGAUAAAACGCGCCGUUUCAUUUUAAAAAAAAGGCGCCAUAACAUUUUUUGAAUCAGUCCUUAAUUUGUCAUUUGUUCUAUUAAGUCCUUCAAUCGAGUCCUUCAAUCAAGAAUAAAAUUCAAUUGCGUCCCUGCCAAAUUCGGUCCCUACCCCUAUAGUUGGCCGCGUUUUUCACUUUGGUCCUUGGGCUCUGAUUUUCACAAUUAAGCCCCUAAUUGAUCGAUAAACUUCCAAUUUCUUCAAUUAAGCCCCUGAAACAAUUCCAAACAGCCCCCUCUAUCUUUGCGCCUUCUCCAAAUUGGUCCCUGGUUUCAGAUUUUCACAAUUAAGUCCCUAAUUGGCCAUUAAACUUCAAUAUUUAUGCAAUUAAGCCCCUGAUUUGACCUAAUAAAUUCCUAAAAAAUAUAUUUUGGCCCCAGAACUUAAAUUUCUUCUAAUUAAAGCCCAAAUUGACUUAAAAAUCAAUUUUUCUUGCAAUCAAAUCUUCUAUAAAUUCAAAUAAAAAUCCAAUUAAGUCCAUAAACAUCCAAAUUUGGGCUUUUCUCCUCAAAAUUCAAAUUUUCCUUCUCAAUAGGGCUUUCAUCCUUUAAGAAUAUACUGUCAAAAAUUCAAUCCUUGUAUUUUUAAAUUCCUUUACCAAUUUUCUGACUGUUUUCUGAGCGCUUCUGCCUCCUGUUAUUUUUUCUAAGCUCUUUUGGCUAUUUAUUUUAUUUUUCAUGGGGACCCAAAAAUGGGUUACAACAACAUGCAUGGCUUUUGUGCGAGGGACAAGCUCCCAAGUAUGAUUUCUAUGAAGAGCUUCCAAUUCCUCUUCCAUUGCAGCUUUCCAACCAGGGUGAGCUAAAGCAGACCGAAAGUUAGAAGGCUCACGUGGGAUGGUUGUUGAGGACUUAAAGGAUGUUAACUUAUAUUUUGGAUUAGGCUUAAGGAUCCCUUUCAGUGAUCUUGUUACCAUUGUAUGUGAGAGAGGAGGCUCACAUGGAGAAUGCACAAGUUGCGUGUCUGAUUCCAAUAAAGCAGGAUUGGAUGGUGAGAGAGAUAGAUGUUGCAAUUGUGUGUCAUCUUCAUUGUCAGAUUCUACCAGUUGUUUUUCAAUUAUGUUACCAUUAUUAACAUGUUGCUCUGUAGUUGCAAUAGUAAAAACAGAAUGGUUGUUAGAUGUGUUGUCAGUGAUACGAGGCAUUGAUGUAGACUCUGAUUGGGAGGGGGGAAAGUGGAGUUCUACCAUUCCAUUGUCAUUGUUAUGUUCAACCAGCUGUGUUCCAGUCACAUUAUCAUCACUAACAUGUUCUGUAAUUGUAGUAGUAAUAGCAUAAUCAUCAUGUAAAGGAAAAGAAGAUGAUAGGGUAUGUUGUAAUGAGCUUAAGCAUGGUGGAGGAGACAUUACAGGUUGUAUGUCUACAGCAGACUUAGAGAUAAUAGGUGGUAACCAUGAAUCAAAGAUGCUCAUAGCAUGUGUAGGGGACGAGGUUAUGUAAUUCUGAAGUUUUUGCUUAUAAUGAAAAGAUGACUCAUCGAAGACUACAUGACGAGAAAUAAGCAUUUUUUUACUAGGAGGAUGAAAGCAUUUUUAUCCUUUAUGUUUGUCACUAUAUCUUACAAAAAUGCAUAGAGCUGUUUUAGGGUCAAAUUUGUUUUGUUUUGUAUCCCAAGUGUAGGGAAAACAUUUGGACCCAAAGACUCUAAGGGAUGAGUAUGUAGGAUGAUUGCCAUGCAACAUGAAAUAUGGAGAUUCAAAGUUAAGUGCUGAUGAGGGCAAUCUAUUCAUACGAUAAACAGCAAUAAUGAAAGCUUCAACCCAUAGAAAUAAAAGAGCAUUACUAUGAAAAAGCAUAGUCAUACCUAGUUCCUGUAUUACUCGAUGUCUGUGUUCUACUAUACCUAUUUAUUCUGGUGUAUAAGGACAUGAUAUUUGGUGAAUCACUCCUGUUGAGAGAAAGUGUGAUGAUAGUUUGGAAUUUAUAAAUUCUCCUCCUCCAUCAGAGUGAAAGACCUUGAUAUGUUUGUUAAAUUGCCUAGUAACAUAAUGUUCAAAAGCAAGAUAAGCAUAUGCAAAAUCAGACUUAUGUAGUAAAGGGAUUAUCCAAGUAUAUUUAGAAAAAUCAUCGACUAAACAAGCAUAAUAUCUGAAUUUUCCUAUUGAUAAAACAGGAGCAAGUACCCAUAAAUCACAAUGAAUUUUUUCAAAAAUACCAGAACUUGAGUGUUCAGAAUGAAAAAAAGGUAAUCGACUAAGUUUUCCAAAUUGACAGCUAUCACAAACAUGUUCAUGCUUUAUAGUUCCUUUAACAUCUAUCAAGCUUUUAUUGUGCAAUAAUUGUAAAGUAGAGAGGUGCGGAUUUUCUAAACGAUAAUGCCAGAUAUCUACUAGUCCUGAUCUGAAUCGAUUAGAGAAAUAGAGCUCAGGCAUGGUGGAAAGAGUAUAGAGAUCACCCUUGCGACAUCCUGUGAUCACGGGUUGUCUUGUCUGUUGUUCCUUAAUAUAGAAAUCAACGUCCACUACCAGAAAUUCGCUUAAUAGCAACGGAUUUACCGACAUAAUAUUUUUAUCUGUAAUUUGAGGUUGAAAUUACCGACGGAAUUUAUCCGUCCAUAAUUCAGUCGGUAACUACCGACAAAUAGUGUCUGUCGGUAGUUACCGACCGAAUUACGGACGGAUAGUUCAGAAUUAAAAAAAAAAGCGGGUCGCUGACAUGGAGGUUUUUUCCGACGGAUUCAAAACGACAGACCUGUACAGUGAUGCGACCGGUUCACCGUUGAAAAUACCGAUGGAAUGACCGAGGGAUGUGGAAAGGCAGAUCUGUACGGUGACAUGUCUAUUUUUGCCAAUAGAAAAGCGACGGACACACUGACGAAAAUAUCCGUCGGUGAAACCAUCGGAAAAAGUUUAGUUUAGGAACGUCUGAUGAAGGGAUCGGAAAUACAACAAGAAAAUCUUAAAAUUGUCUAAAACUCAUGCAAAUCAAAUGAACAUAAAUCUUAAUCACCAUGUUUCGUGAGAAAUCAAUGGCUAGCCAUCCAAAGAUGGAGCCGUGCCGUUUCUAAAAUCGCCAAUUGUUACUGAAGUAGGAGGCCCAACAAUUUCCCAUACGUUGGGAACUCCAUCCCUGAUGUGUUCAAGUUCUUUACUGCUUUGUUGUGCAUGAAGAGCUCCUUUUGACAGCCGAAUCUGCUCCAACUCCAUCGCGACUUCUCUCAUUGAUGGUCGUUUCCUUCCAUUCAAGUUCAAGCAUCUUCUUGCAAGAUUAGCGACUGCGAUAACUUCUUCUUCACGCUGCCCCAUAAGUCGUCGUCAAGAAUAUCAAAUAUCUUGUUCUCUUCCAUCAAAAGAAUAAAAUGAGUGGCUAAACUUCUCCUGUCUUCCGGCCUUUCAUAAGAAAUUGGUUUUUGCCCACUCAAGAGCUCUGCAAGAACAACACCAAAACUGUAGACGUCACUUUUUGCGGUAAACUGGCUAGACUGGAAGUACUCUGGGUCCAAGUAUCCAAAAGUGCCUUGAACAUGAGUGGUUAGAUGAGUUUGAUCAAUGGCGAUCGAUCUUGAAGUUCCAAAAUCUGAUACUUUUGCUCUGAACUUCUC